rnacentral:rRNA from 1 species
UUUGAGGAAGUAAAAGUCGUAACAAGGUCUCCGUUGGUGAACCAGCGGAGGGAUCAUUACAGAGUUUACAACUCCCAAACCCCUGUGAACAUACCAGUCGUUGCCUCGGCGGUGUCUUGCUUCGGCGAGCCCGCCAGAGGACCCAACAAACUCUUGUUUUUUUAGUAUUAUUUGAGUGACAAGUUUAAUAAAUCAAAACUUUCAACAACGGAUCUCUUGGUUCUGGCAUCGAUGAAGAACGCAGCGAAAUGCGAUAAGUAAUGUGAAUUGCAGAAUUCAGUGAAUCAUAGAAUCUUUGAACGCACAUUGCGCCCGCCAGUAUUCUGGCGGGCAUGCCUGUUCGAGCGUCAUUUCAACCCUCAAACCCCCGGGUUUGGUGUUGGAGAUCGGCAUGAGUCCUCCGGGGCGACGCCGUCUCCCAAAUAUAGUGGCGGUCUCGCUGUAGCUUCCUAUGCGUAGUAGCACCCCUCGCACUGGAAAGCAGCGCGGCCACGCCGUUAAACCCCCAACUUUUCUGAGUUGACCUCGAAUCAGGUAGGCUCCCAUCC